UAUCUGGAGGUGUAAGAUGCACGUAAAUUUUUGAUAUUUAAGGGGAUAGUUUAAUUCUAUUCUAGGUAA
rnacentral:tRNA from 1 species